rnacentral:rRNA from 1 species
AGGUCACGGCAAGACGAGCCGUUUAUCAUAACUAUAGGUGCCAAGUGGAAGUGCGGUAACGUAUGCAGCUGAGGCAUCCUAACAGACCGAGAGAUUUGAAC